UACGGGGGGUGCGAGCGUUGUCCGGAAUCACUGGGCGUAAAGGGCGCGUAGGUGGCCUGAUAAGGGUGUGGUGAAAGUCCGGGGCUCAACCCCGGAUCUGCCGUGCCGACUGUUGGGCUGGAGUACUGUAGGGGCAGGCGGAAUUCCGGGUGUAGCGGUGGAAUGCGUAGAGAUCCGGAGGAAGACCGGUGGCGAAGGCGGCCCACUGGGCCGGUGCUGACGCUGAGGCGCGAAGGCGUGGGGAGCGAACGGG
rnacentral:rRNA from 1 species